CUGAAUUUGUUAGAGUUUUUGAAGAUGUAUUCCUAAGAAGAUAUGUCUCCUCCCUGGUACAUAAAGACAGUGAGGAAGGUGAUGAAUCUGCCUGACCUCCUGAGAGUAACAAAGAAGACGAAAGACCAGCUGUAAGAAGCAAACCUCCCAUAUCGCCUGACUGGAGAAGAGAUCAAGGUGAAGUCAAGUGGGAAAUUUUUGUCCAAUUCUGUGAUCAAAUUGCCAAGAAAUUAAGUGUAAAGGCGGUGAUAGCCCAGAAAAUACUUUCAGGUCCUUCACACAAUUCUUCACCUUCAGGGAUCACCGCUGGGAGCAGACAGUUCCAUUUCCCAUCUGAG